AUGCACGCUGGCGGCGUGCCUCAUACAUGCAAGUCGAGCGAACAGACGAGGAGCUUGCUCCUCUGACGUUAGCGGCGGACGGGUGAGUAACACGUGGAUAACCUACCUAUAAGACUGGGAUAACUUCGGGAAACCGGAGCUAAUACCGGAUAAUAUAUUGAACCGCAUGGUUCAAUAGUGAAAGACGGUUUUGCUGCCACUUAUAGAUGGAUCCGCGCCGCAUUAGCUAGUUGGUAAGGUAACGGCUUACCAAGGCGACGAUGCGUAGCCGACCUGAGAGGGUGAUCGGCCACACUGGAACUGAGACACGGUCCAGACUCCUACGGGAGGCAGCAGUAGGGAAUCUUCCGCAAUGGGCGAAAGCCUGACGGAGCAACGCCGCGUGAGUGAUGAAGGUCUUCGGAUCGUAAAACUCUGUUAUUAGGGAAGAACAAAUGUGUAAGUAACUAUGCACGUCUUGACGGUACCUAAUCAGAAAGCCACGGCUAACUACGUG
rnacentral:rRNA from 1 species